AGUGAACGCUGGCGGUAGGCCUAACACAUGCAAGUCGAACGGCCGCACAGUAAGAGCUUGCUCUUACGGGUGGCGAGUGGCGGACGGGUGAGGAAUACAUCGGAAUCUACUUUUUCGUGGGGGAUAACGUAGGGAAACUUACGCUAAUACCGCAUACGACCUACGGGUGAAAGCAGGGGAUCUUCGGACCUUGCGCGAUUGAAUGAGCCGAUGUCGGAUUAGCUAGUUGGCGGGGUAAAGGCCCACCAAGGCGACGAUCCGUAGCUGGUCUGAGAGGAUGAUCAGCCACACUGGAACUGAGACACGGUCCAGACCCCUACGGGAGGCAGCAGUGGGGAAUAUUGGACAAUGGGCGCAAGCCUGAUCCAGCCAUACCGCGUGGGUGAAGAAGGCCUUCGGGUUGUAAAGCCCUUUUGUUGGGAAAGAAAAGCAGCAGGUUAAUACCCCGCUGUUCUGACGGUACCCAAAGAAUAAGCACCGGCUAACUUCGUG
rnacentral:rRNA from 1 species